CUUCAGUUGUAGGAGUGGGAUCUGGCUCUAGACUGCCCCCCUGUCCUCUGCUUUUAUCUUUACACAGUGAGCUGAUACCCCUGUUGUUCUACUGCGCCCUGACUUACUGUUAUCUGAUCGGUUGGGGUGUAAGGACUCUGAGUUGGGGUGGGGGUGCACACGGUGUCCCCUCUGUGCUCGCAGUGGGAGCUGUGUCUGUUGUUGGCAGAAGUCCGGGGGUACCCCACUUGCCCAUGGACCCCUGUCUCUCAUGGAAAACCAGCCUGUGGGGUACAGCGUGGUGGGUGAGGAGUGAAGCAGAGCUGGGAAUAAAGUCAGUACAGUGAGAGGGGAUAGGAGCUCAUGGGCCUACAGUACUUCCCUACCCCCCUCUGCUGAUUCUCAAAGUCUGGGGGUUGUGCUCUUCUCAUGUGGGUGUCACCCAACCCCCCCCCCCCUUCAGGGUCAGGUAAAUCGCUGGGUUCUUCCCUUCUCUCCCUUACCACAAUCACAGGUGCAGUUUGAAAUUCCUAUGAAGCGUUUUGCUGAGUGACGGAGGGAGCCGAGACAAAUGGACAACCUUCGGUCAGCACUGUGAUCCGUGGUCCGCUCCAACCUGAACUACGUUUCCCAGCAGGCCCUGGGGGAGGAAUGGUGGCCAAUAAGUUGCCUCCCCUGGGUUAAUGAGCUCAGAGGGGGACGAGAGAUCUGUCCUGACCCAGUGUGCAGUUGACAGCCCCCCCCAUCUUCUUCCUACUGCAGCUGAGGCACAGGUGGACAGCUCUCAGGACAGACACAAGGUAAGGAAACAGGGCUCUUUAUUCACAGAUCAAGAUGAAGCGUUCCAGAAACCACAAGACAAACCUCUAGUUCUUCUCCCAACUGUAGCUAGACGUGCAGUCGGCUUCCCCAGGCCUCUGUGAAGACAAGUCAGACUCCCA
rnacentral:lncRNA from 1 species